rnacentral:lncRNA from 1 species
UUCUGUGUAUACAGUGAUUAAGCACAUAGGUUCUGGAGCCAGUCUGUUUCUUUCAAAAUCACCUCAUUGCUUUUGAAGAAUCAGGGAAACCCCCAUGAGACUACAGGUGUGAAGCAAGAUAGAAGCAUCAGUGCAAAAGAGUACUGCAUUUCCAAAUAAAGCCACUCACAAUCUUUAAUCAGGCUGUAAAUUUUAAGAAAUCUGGACCAAGACAGUUUGCUCCAAGAGUAUCCCACAAAUGCAGAUCUUCAGAGUGAGAUUUUAUUAUUGGAUUGCUCACCUGUCUGUUGCAUCUUCAACCUUUCUGGACUACAGCACCUGCCAACUGACCCCCACAUCAUGGCUCCAACGCUGGCUUCAUCACAUAUCUUCUCUCUCAGUCCCUUUGGCUCUCAGGGUGCAAUAGCUUAACAAAAUUGCUGAUCUAGGUGCCUCAGCAUUGUUUCUUUGUCAUAGUCUCUGUAUUAUCUUAUUUUGAGCCAUUCUUUUCCUGCAAAGAUCCUAACUGAAUGAGAUAACUACUUCAUAAGCUAUUUGUAAGGUUUAAAUAAAUUAAUGCAUAUUUAAUACAUGAAGCUGUGCCUAGUUUAUAGUAAUUACUCAAAAAUGUUACUUAUUUCUCCAUCCAAAACAUACAAACAAUAGUAUAUCCUUCAUGAGGACUUCUUGUGGACUAAAAAGGCAGUAUCUUUAAAGUGUUUUGCAGUCUCUGACAAAACCACACUAUUACCCUUACUCAAGGUUUUAAUUGAUUGUAUGUACACAAGGUUAGUCUAUAUGAGCUUUGGA